CAGUAGCCACGGUAAUACGGAGGGGGCUAGCGUUGUUCGGAAUUACUGGGCGUAAAGCGUACGUAGGCGGCUUUGUAAGUUAGAGGUGAAAGCCCGGAGCUCAACUCCGGAAUUGCCUUUAAGACUGCAUCGCUUGAAUUGUGGAGAGGUGAGUGGGAUUCCGAGUGUAGAGGUGAAAUUCGUAGAUAUUCGGAAGAACACCAGUGGCGAAGGCGGCUCACUGGACACGUAUUGACGCUGAGGUACGAAAGCGUGGGGAGCAAACAGGAUUAGAUACCCCAGUAGUCCCUGUCUCUUAUAC
rnacentral:rRNA from 1 species